GACGAACGCUGGCGGCGUGCUUAACACAUGCAAGUCGAACGGAAAGGCCCUGCUUUUGUGGGGUGCUCGAGUGGCGAACGGGUGAGUAACACGUGAGUAACCUGCCCUUGACUUUGGGAUAACUUCAGGAAACUGGGGCUAAUACCGGAUAGGAGCUCCUGCUGCAUGGUGGGGGUUGGAAAGUUUCGGCGGUUGGGGAUGGACUCGCGGCUUAUCAGCUUGUUGGUGGGGUAGUGGCUUACCAAGGCUUUGACGGGUAGCCGGCCUGAGAGGGUGACCGGCCACAUUGGGACUGAGAUACGGCCCAGACUCCUACGGGAGGCAGAAGUGGGGAGUAUUGCACAGUGGGCGGAAGCCUGAUGCAGCAACGCCGCGUGCGGGAUGACGGCCUGCGGGUUGUAAACCGCUUUCGCCUGUGACGAAGCGUGAGUGACGGUAAUGGGUAAAGAAGCACCGGCUAACUACGUG
rnacentral:rRNA from 1 species